GCUCCACGCUCCCAAAAUUACCCUGCGUGGGGAGGGCCGGGCUGGGACGAGGGAUGUGUCCCAGAGCCCCCCCCCCAUAUUCCCAGUGCCUGUUAUCCCUCCCAAGAUCCCGCUCUCGGGGCACAAUCCAAGCGUUUCUCAGCAAAGCGAGGACGUUCCACGCCCCGAAUCAGGCUGUCCCGGAGCGCCACGUCCGCGGGGGACAGGUCCGACAGCAGCUCGUAGUCUGGGGGAGGGAUGCACAGCUGCUGCAGGAUGCGGGUGAGCCGGACCCAGAGGACGUGGAUGCCUGGAAACCAUGGGAUGAGGACGGAGGAGAACGGCAGGACACACGGACCGUGGGACACGGGCACUCGGAGCCGCUCACCAGGUAGUUGAGGGCAUAGGCCAACUGCUUGGCCACCGUCAGCUUCCAGCUGGUGGUCACCGAGCCCUCGCCCCGCUU